rnacentral:rRNA from 1 species
ACGUAGGGGGCAAGCGUUAUCCGGAUUUACUGGGUGUAAAGGGAGCGUAGACGGCAUGGCAAGUCUGGAGUGAAAGACCGGGGCUCAACCCCGGGCCUGCUUUGGAAACUGUCAGGCUGGAGUGCAGGAGAGGUAAGUGGAAUUCCUAGUGUAGCGGUGAAAUGCGUAGAUAUUAGGAGGAACACCAGUGGCGAAGGCGGCUUACUGGACUGUAACUGACGUUGAGGCUCGAAAGCGUGGGGAGCAAACAG